CAUGGUCUGAUAUUAGCAAUUACUAACCUGUGUCUCUAUAAAGGAAUUAGACCUUAUCUGAAUGAAACAGAGAGGGAAAAGGGCAAAAUCAGCUCUGGUGGAGCCAAAAUCUAAGCUUCUUUUUAUCAUACGCAUACAAGGGCAAAAUGACAUGCACCCAAAAACUAAGAAGAUCCUGUACAAACUAAGAUUGAUGAAAAUCUUUAGCGGUGUCUUCGCUAUGGCUAGUGAAGGCAUAUAAGAAUAGCUGUAAAAGGUGGAGCCAUAUGUCACUUAUGGGUUUUGGAUGCUGCCAAGUCUCUUCCUCCAAGGGAGCUGCUGCAUUCUUGCUUACUUAUUCGUGUGUGCUGGGCGAGUAUUACUAUUUGGGCCAUAGAUAUUUCCAUGUUGAAACCUUGGAGGCUUGGAAGAAGACUUUUCUCGCCAUUGACCAGAACCUUUUCUGGAGCUUUUUUCGCUGGGGAAUUAUUUACAGAUUGCAUGUUGCUGCUCCCUCCUUUUCUUCUUGUUUUGGUUGCGUAUAUAAGCAGGAUUUUAGUAGUCGUGCAGAAUUUUUGGGUUCUUUGGGUGGAUGGUUCUUUUGUGUAUAGCAUGUGUAGUUGGCUUUUGUAUACCAAAGUCCGACAUUGUUUUUGUGUUGUUGGUCAUUUUGUUGAGACCUCUUUGAG